rnacentral:rRNA from 1 species
UACGUAGGGCGCAAGCGUUAUCCGGAAUUAUUGGGCGUAAAGAGCUCGUAGGCGGUUUGUCGCGUCUGCCGUGAAAGUCCGGGGCUCAACUCCGGAUCUGCGGUGGGUACGGGCAGACUAGAGUGAUGUAGGGGAGACUGGAAUUCCUGGUGUAGCGGUGAAAUGCGCAGAUAUCAGGAGGAACACCGGUGGCGAAGGCGGGUCUCUGGGCCGAUACUGACGCUGAGGCACGAAGGUCAGGGGAGCAAACGGG